UUAAGUGACUUGCCCACACAGUAUCUCAAGUUAUAUUUCACCUGAGAUUUUUUUGACUCCAGACCAGGUGUUCUAUCCACUAACUAUCCCAUUAACUGCCCCACUCCAGUAUAAAGAACUGUGCUCAAUAAAAGAAAUUUAAACUGAAAAUCAAGAUAAUCCCUGUCCUCAAGAAACUUUCAUUCUAAUAGCCAGAGAGGUGGUUUAAGUGACUAAUCAAGUACUGAGGAUUCAGAGACAAAGCAGAUGGUUACCUUUAAUGCCAUUUCCAUUAUUAGAACUAUACAGGCUUCUGAUGAAGAACUAUUUGACAGUACUAAGAAUUUUGGUGGUAAGUAAGAUAUUUUCCUUCACUGGGUCUCAUUUUCCUUAGUCAGGUGUCAGUCUGGAUAAUUUCUAAGAUCUGCUCCACCUUGAAGAUCCUUUGAUCUGAGAAAUUUGACUGUCUAUUCAGUAUGGCAUCAGGCCCAAUGGGCAGCAUCUCUCACUGGAAAGAUCUUGUAUCAUCUGGCAUGAGAUUUGAAAUUCCAUCACUAUAGAAUUACUUCUUUGUGUCUUAAAGACUUUUUGAUGAUGGGAGGUUCUCCCCUCAUUAGAAGUCUUUAAGGCAUGUUAUUGGAGCACUUCUUUUGGGUAUGUCUUGGACUGAAUGCCACUGAAGUUCCUUCCAAGUCUGAAGUUCUGUGACUCUGAUCUCCAGAGGUCUUUCAUGAAAAUGCAACAACCCCUUGAAAGGAAAACAAAGAGAAAAGAGGGCAGUCUAUUACCAUAAGGCUCUGGUUUCUAUUCAUGUUGAGAUUCAAAUUAGGCUUCCUGAAGGUCUGCAGUUAGUCUUCAAUGUCCCUUGUAGAGGCUUGGAGAGUGUUAAACACAUCUAUAUGAGAACUACCUGGACAUUAUAUUUAGUAGGCAAAAGCUCCUUAUAGACAAUGGUUCUUUAUGUUCCUGACCUAUCCAUGAACUUGUGGGAACAGCCCAAAUCAAAUUUAGAAUGGGGGCAGUUAUAUUAAGAAAGCUCAUUAUAUUCCAUUGUUGUCUAUCCUGGGUAAUGCACUGGUAUUAUGGACUUCUCUCAAGUUGUUAAUAAUGGUAAAAACCAAUACCAUGAAUGGAAAGAAUAAUGCAUACUGUUUUCAGAAAGGCCAUGCUGUAAGAACUUUGCCCUAGAGUGAAAUUUCAUGGCAGCUUUCUACCCAGGAUUCAUUGACCCAGAUGUAAGAAGAUGUCAUGAUUUUUUAAAAAAGUGUUUCUUAUUUUACUUUAUCCAAUUUUGACUUUUUAUUGGCAAGGGGAAAAGGGAGAAAAUUAUCUUUUCAUUGUGCUGCUUCAACAUAUAAAUGACAAAGUCAUAUACCUGACUCAUUUCUGCUUUUUCCAGGCAAGGUGAUGAUAUAUUUAUGAAUUUCUUCUAAAAUGAACAUUGACAAACUACAGUGUCACCUUUAGAAGAUAACAAGAAUGGCAAGAGGAUUCAAAACCAUGUCAAAUGAGAAACUACCUAGCCAUGUGGGAUAGUGACUUUCUCAGUCCUAAAAGCAUCAAAGCUCAGGUGCUUCCAAGACCAAUGAGCAGUUGUUCACCUAAUAGAGUGUGGCUGGAGUCAGGCUCCCUGAAGCCUGCGAAUCUAUGGAGACUCUUGGUCUGCUGUCAUGGACAGUGCACAGAGAAUGCAGACCAUUAGUUUAGGAUGUGGAAGAACAACCUGCAUGCUCCAGCCAUGGAAUAUGGAAUAGGGAAUGGGCAGAAGCUUCACUCUUCUUCAUCUUUGGGAGAAUGGAAACAAUGACUGAAGGAAAAGAAGAACUUAACUGAGAAUCACAUAUCUUCCAGUGGAGAAGGACUUAAACAUAUACAAAGAGUAAAAACUGGUGAUGGCAGAAGAAAAAUUCGGAGAGAGAGGCAGCUCUGGACACUGAACUCUGAGCUAGAGCUAAAAUUGCACAGUGACCAUAGCCACUCAACCAUUUUCCUGAGGGUGAAAGGAAUUUUCUCUUGAGAGAAUGGGGGGAAAUGCACUGUUAAAAGGUAAAGUCCAUGCUUGGGUUCUCACCCUGAUUAAAGAGGCCAGACUCAGAAAGAGGAGUUUAUUUACAUCCCAAGUAGGCUUGCCACUGGGCUGUUUGGGAUUCUAAUGGAGCCCUGCUUGUACAGAGGGACAAACCUCCAAACAAGGACAAAGGUAUUUUGUUAGGAUCCCGCAAUCAUGAGGGAUGGAACUGAUGCCACUUCAGUUCCUUCCUAAUUAUUUUGAUUGGCCCACAUUCCAAAUAAGAAGAUGGGGUUAGUGAGCAUGUGUGGCAGCUGUUGACAUGUACUCAUUAUAAGGAGAUGGGAUUAUUGCCAAAGAGAAAGGAUUAGUGCAUGUGAGACUACCCUUCCCUGCCAGCUGGCUUCACAUAGCCAAGGUCAAGCAAGGUUAAACUAUGUGGUCCUUUCAAAAUAAAUCUGUAUUAAGGACUGGUUUUUACAAAAUAAUCCCCUUUGGUGCUAACCAUACUCAUGGUACAACGGCAGAAUUGGAUCUAUAUCACUCCUCUAUUCUCAAGUGCAUCAUCCUCAUCUCUGCUGCUUGUGCAGAAUCAAUUUGAUAAACAUUGAUGGCUAUGAACUAGGGAAUUUAAAUUUGCAGCACUAAACAAGUUUACUAUGGCCAUGAGUAUUGCAAAAAUAACAUUUCCAUAUUUCCUUCAAUAUCAUAAAAAAAAAGUUGAACAAACUUAGUUGAGUUAAAAUCUAAUAGGAUCCCUUAAGGAGACAAAUCUUAUUAAAGAGGUUUUAUAGGCAAAUGAAGUCAGGUUACAGAUUAAACGGCUUAGAGGGUCUCACUAUGUAUUAAUAUGAGAGAGAUCUAUAUAUCGCUAAAGUCACCAAGAAAAUUCAGUAAACAUUAAACACCAUGAAACAGAAAGAAAGCCAAAGUAAUACAAUAAAUACCUAGUUUCCUUAUAACCUGGUAACCCAUUUUCAAUGUUCAUUUAAUCAGCACAUUUUAUCUUGAGUCCCAGAUAACUCAUGUAGUCAUUUGGUCCUUAGAAACAGCUUCUUUUGGACAUUUUGUUAUAGGUCUCAUUCUCAGGGCAGUUCUGAUGGGGGCUCCUCCUUGUAGAUUUGGCUUCUUUGGCCAAAAGUCACUUGCAGGGAUUCCUAGAUAAUUUUGCCAAAAUAUUCCAGUAACAAGAUACUCUCUUUGAGCAACAUAUGACAUUCCUCUUCAAUGGUGGACUAUUGGCUUCAUGACAAUUAAGACAAUUAUAUCUAAAAAUCAAAAGUUAGAGCAAUGAAAAUUGUGGACCCAAGAGAUUUCACUUCAGAUAGCAAAAUUUCACUAAUCAUAGGUUAGGAUUAGAUUAUUUUUAUUUUUCUCAUGUUUCAAUAACAGUUCAAAUGAGCACAUAAGGACAUUUUAUUUAUCCUUUUAUGUAUAAAUUAGGAAUAACCACAUUAUGGAAUUUUACAACAAAGUAAAUACAGGAUAGUUGAGUCAAAACCUAGAAAAAUUUUGGUCACUGUAAGCUUCUGAUGUGUUUCUAUUAAUCUCUAAGGCAAAGGUGAAAUCUUUGACUCUUAAGUUCUAUUGGUUCAAAAAUGUAACUUUAAUACAUACUAUAUAUCAACUGAUACAAUUUUAUAAUUUUCAUAAAGUGAUAGUCAAAUAAUUUCAGAUGAAAUUCACUCUUCACUAUAAGCAAAUUUGUAAGUUUCCCACUUUGGUUGAAAGUGGUCUGAGUUUUUCAAAUUUUAGCUCUUGAGAAUUUUUCAACAAGCUGACUAGUGUGGCUGAUAAGAUCUUGUGAUUUUGCCCAACUAGAAAGUGCCAAGGACCAAGAAGGAUAAUUUAAGAGGGCUAUGUUGAGAAUUCUGGGAAGAUGGUGGAGUAGGUUGGUGAAUUUCAAGCUCUCCUGAUUUCUCCCACAAAUGGAACAAAUUUGCGCCUCAGGGCAAACAUUGAUGUGAAAAAUCAAGAAGAUUUGGGGUAGAACUGGUGUCCUCCAGGCACAACCCAAGAAGAUCUGGCAAAAGAUCACAAACUGGGGAUUAAUCUCUAUAAAGUGCAAAAAUCUCUGGGCUAGGUCCUCAGAAACACCAACGGGGGACCUCUCCAGCUAGCUAAGUGUGGCUGGAACCUCAGCAGGAACCAUAGAGACUUUUACAAAGCUCCCAGACUGUCAAGUGGGGGUUUGAGUCCAGAAAAACUGAGUCAACCUCUGCUGAUUGGGAAUAACAGGCUCAACUGUGCUGCUGAGAUGGUCCUGUGCAAGAAGGAACCAGAGCCUAGGGAGUGCAGAAGCAGCGGGCAGAGAAGCUGCUGGCUGUGGGCACCUGCAGGAGGGUGGAACUCUUGGUUUGGGGUCCCUGGUCAGAGAGGAGAGGCACCAUCCCUCUCCCCCCACAAUUAGAAGUGCUUACACUAAUACCAUUUAUUAAAAAAAGAUGAACUA